AUUAAUUCCCCAUAGUACAAUAUAAUAUCGCAUGAUAUAAUUGUUAAAGAUUUAUCGGUUAAAGAUGGGCAUGCGUCUGAUUAGCUUGUUGGUAAGGUAACGGCUUACCAAGGCAACGAUCAGUAGGGGGUCUGAGAGGAUGAUCCCCCACACUGGUACUGAGACACGGACCAGACGUCUACGGACGGCAGCAGUAAGGAAUAUUGGGCAAUGGGCGCAAGCCUGACCCAGCCAUGCCGCGUGCAGGAUGACGACCCUAUGGGUUGUAAACUGCUUUUAUAUAGGAAGAAAAUACUCUUGCGAGAGGAUCUGACGGUACUAUAUGAAUAAGGAC
rnacentral:rRNA from 1 species